UGUCAGCCGCCGCGGUAACACGUAGGAGGCGAGCGUUAUCCGGAUUCACUGGGCGUAAAGCGCGUGCAGGCGGUUCGGUAAGUUGGACGUGAAAUCUCCCGGCUCAACUGGGAGAGGUCGUUCAAUACUACCGAACUUGAGAGCGAUAGAGGAAAAUGGAAUUCCCGGUGUAGUGGUGAAAUGCGUAGAUAUCGGGAGGAACACCAGUGGCGAAAGCGAUUUUCUGGAUCGUUUCUGACGCUCAGACGCGAAAGCUAGGGUAGCAAACGGGAUUAGAGACCCCGGUAGUCCUAGCUGUAAACGAUGUGAACUUGGCGUUGGUGGCUUAAACUCCAUCAGUGCCGAAGCUAACGCGAUAAGUUCACCGCCUGGGGACUACGGCCGCAAGGUUAAAACUCAAAUGAAUUGACGG
rnacentral:rRNA from 1 species